rnacentral:rRNA from 1 species
GAUGAACGCUGGCGGCGUGCCUAAUACAUGCAAGUCGAGCGAACAGACGAGGAGCUUGCUCCUCUGACGUUAGCGGCGGACGGGUGAGUAACACGUGGAUAACCUACCUAUAAGACUGGGAUAACUUCGGGAAACCGGAGCUAAUACCGGAUAAUAUAUUGAACCGCAUGGUUCAAUAGUGAAAGACGGUUUUGCUGCCACUUAUAGAUGGAUCCGCGCCGCAUUAGCUAGUUGGUAAGGUAACGGCUUACCAAGGCAACGAUGCGUAGCCGACCUGAGAGGGUGAUCGGCCACACUGGAACUGAGACACGGUCCAGACUCCUACGGGAGGCAGCAGUAGGGAAUCUUCCGCAAUGGGCGAAAGCCUGACGGAGCAACGCCGCGUGAGUGAUGAAGGUCUUCAGAUCGUAAAACUCUGUUAUUAGGGAAGAACAAAUGUGUAAGUAACUAUGCACGUCUUGACGGUACCUAAUCAGAAAGCCACGGCUAACUACGUG